rnacentral:rRNA from 3 species
UGGGUAACCUGCCUGUAAGACUGGGAUAACUCCGGGAAACCGGGGCUAAUACCGGAUGGUUGUUUGAACCGCAUGGUUCAAACAUAAAAGGUGGCUUCGGCUACCACUUACAGAUGGACCCGCGGCGCAUUAGCUAGUUGGUGAGGUAACGGCUCACCAAGGCAACGAUGCGUAGCCGACCUGAGAGGGUGAUCGGCCACACUGGGACUGAGACACGGCCCAGACUCCUACGGGAGGCAGCAGUAGGGAAUCUUCCGCAAUGGACGAAAGUCUGACGGAGCAACGCCGCGUGAGUGAUGAAGGUUUUCGGAUCGUAAAGCUCUGUUGUUAGGGAAGAACAAGUACCGUUCGAAUAGGGCGGUACCUUGACGGUACCUAACCAGAAAGCCACGGCUAACUACGUGCCAGCAGCCGCGGUAAUACGUAGGUGGCAAGCGUUGUCCGGAAUUAUUGGGCGUAAAGGGCUCGCAGGCGGUUUCUUAAGUCUGAUGUGAAAGCC